GGAAGGCCUGAGCCCGUAAGAUCACCUAAGCAGAAAGCCUGAUGACCUGAGUUCAAUCCCGAGAUCUUAUGCCCACAUGUUCUUGCCACUAUGAUGCCCCUCAUAAAGAGACUUGUACCAGAAAGGAAGCGUAGGUGUGGCCACCUGAUCUGGGACUGCAGUUUCCAAAUCUGAACUAAAUAAACGUUCUUACAAAGGA